GGAGUUGUGGCUCAGCGGUAGAGCACUCUCCUAGCAUGUGUGAGGCGCUGGGUUCCAUCCUCAGCUCCA
rnacentral:tRNA from 1 species